rnacentral:rRNA from 1 species
AAUGAACGCUGGCGGCGUGCCUAAUACAUGCAAGUCGAGCGAACAGACGGGGAUUUUGCCUCUCUGACGUUACCGACGGAUGGGUGAGUAACACGUAGAUAACCUACAUUUAAGCCUGGGAUAACUUAAGGAAACCGGAGCUAACACCGGACAAUAUAUUGAACAGCAGGGUUCAUCCGUGAACGCCCGUUUUGCUGUCACUUAUACAUGGUUCCACGCCGCAUUAGCUAGUUGGUAAGGUAACGGCUUACCAAGGCAACGAUGCGUAGCUGAUCUGAGAGGGUGAUCAGCCACACUGGAACUGAGACACGGUCCAGACUCCUACGGGAGGCAGCAGUAGGGAAUCUUGCGCAAUGGGCGAAAGCCUGACGUAGCAACGCCGCGUGAGUGAUGAAGGUCUUCGGAUCGUAAAGCUCUUUUAGUAGGGAAGAACGAAUGUGUAAGAAACUAUGGACGUCUUGACGGUACCGAAGCAGAAAGCCACGGCUAACUUCGUG